CCUAAUGCUUUUUCUCCGUGGUCCCCGCCGAAAUUUAGAGUCAAAGUCCAAGAAGGGAACUCUGCCGAAUUGAGAGAAACCAAGUCCACAAGGUGGGUCCUGCCGAAUUGCUUCUUGUUUCCCAUCUCUGUACGUUACUUCUCUUAAAGGCCAAAUGAAGAAAAGCCUUUUCUCCUCUCGUGGUCCCCACCGAAAACAAGAGUCCCAAGUUACAAAAGUAGCUCUGCCGAAUUCUCUCCUUUUGUUUUCUAUUGCUCAUCAAAGACUCCCAUCAGCAACCGAAAUUUUUGUUCUCUUGCAGCACCAUGUGGGCCCAACUUGUAAAUCCGCUGGAGGCUCUAAUGUGUGGAGAAUUUUUCUCAGUAAAAUCUCCUUAUUAGCAUUUGUCAGUUCAACUUCCUGUAGAUAGGUCCAAAUACCAAAUAUAAGUAUAUAUUAACAAUUUAAAACAAUAUUUGGUAGGGACAAGGGAAAA
rnacentral:lncRNA from 1 species